AGUUUUGAAUUUUGAGAAUUGAAUGGUAUUUCCAGGUUUGAAACCAUGGUUGCAGUGAGCUGCCAUUAGCUUCCCUUCCCCUGAUCAUCUUCUCCUCUUCCCUCUCUUAUCUUCUUCUUCUUUUUUGUUUCUAAUUUUGUGACUGCCCCUCCUUACCGGAAAGCCCCUGUUUCUGGCAGUAUUUCCAGCCUUAUUCAAGUUCUUAGAUCUCCUUAGUGCGUGAUCCGUUGGGGUUGAAGUUUUGAUCGAAGGUAGCCCUCCCCUUGGCGACAUAAAUCCUAGAAUAUCUCCUCCGAAGCUUGGUUUUUUCUGUGAAGAAAUCCAAACCAGAUUCAGAUCUAAGUUUUACCAACGCCAAGUCCAGUUGCGGGUUCAAUCACAUUCAGAUCUGGGCUGUCGAGGUCUUGCGGUGCUAGAUUCAUAAAUGACCUGCUGCAUCGACCUUUCCUUUGAAGGUUCAGGCCAAGCCGAGGCCUAGUUGAGAAGCCCUCUCGAACUGAAGUAUCUCCCCAUCGCCUGCCUUGCUUCUGAUCUAAGUUUUCUCCUAAGCCUGUGAUGGUGGCUCUGAAAGUGUUUCUCACACAAUAGUAGAUGUUGUAAUAAGUUUUUCUUGGCCCC